AUGGUCAUUCAAGGAGAGCAAGGAGGACUGUCACUAAUCUUCACCAUUACCGUGCAGAGAUUUUUUUAUGUUGCUAUUGACAAAAUAUGCGUGGAGAUGGAUCACCACUUUAGUGAAGGAGCUAAUGAAAUUUAUCAUGAUGACUUUUCCAGUGAUGACCGUGGAACAAUAAGAGGGAAAUUUCUCACUUAUAUAAGUCAAGUGAAAAGGCGUGCUUCUUUUUCUUCUUUUGAUGAUGUUCAAAGUUUGACCGUGAAGAUGGUUGAAACUGAGAAACAUUUGGUAUUUUCAUUGGUGUACAAACUUAUUGAGUUGGUUUUGAUAUUGCUGGUGUCAACAACUAUUGACAGAUCUUUUUCGGCAAUGAAGAUUAUCAAGACUAAAUUGCAUAGCAAGAACAAUAAUGAAUGGUUCAAUGACUUGAUAAUUUAUUACAACGAGCGGGAGUUAUUCAAGUCAGUUGAUGACAAGGAUAUUAUUCAAACAUUUACUACAACGAGUUCUCGGAAAGGGCAUUUGCCUCGUGAUUUUCUUCAGUGCACUGUCGUGCCUUCUAAGACUUCGGGAACAUGGCGAGUUUGCCUCUACACAAGGCUGAUUGCAUGUCUUUCUUUUGGCAAAAAUGAACAAGCGAGAGAUGCUUCUGACCAUGAUGGAAUUGCACGAUCACAUCUGGUGACAUAUGGUAUGUAUAGCUUUACUUUUGUUGGCAACAUGGCGAGUUUGCCUCUAUGCAAGGUUGGCUAUGUAUCUUUUGUUGUCAUGUCUCAAGUUUAUUUGGUCUAUGAAGUGGAUAUUGAUAUAUUAACUCACCUUAAAAUUAAAUUUGGCUUGACUAUUAUAGUUACGUUUUCACUUCACUAUUAA
rnacentral:rRNA from 1 species